rnacentral:rRNA from 1 species
GAUGAACGCUGGCGGCGUGCCUAAUACAUGCAAGUCGAGCGAACAGACGAGGAGCUUGCUCCUCUGACGUUAGCGGCGGACGGGUGAGUAACACGUGGAUAACCUACCUAUAAGACUGGGAUAACUUCGGGAAACCGGAGCUAAUACCGGAUAAUAUAUUGAACCGCAUGGUUCAAUAGUGAAAGACGGUCUUGCUGUCACUUAUAGAUGGAUCCGCGCUGCAUUAGCUAGUUGGUAAGGUAACGGCUUACCAAGGCGACGAUGCGUAGCCGACCUGAGAGGGUGAUCGGCCACACUGGAACUGAGACACGGUCCAGACUCCUACGGGAGGCAGCAGUAGGGAAUCUUCCGCAAUGGGCGAAAGCCUGACGGAGCAACGCCGCGUGAGUGAUGAAGGUCUUCGGAUCGUAAAACUCUGUUAUUAGGGAAGAACAGAUGUGUAAGUAACUGUGCACGUCUUGACGGUACCUAAUCAGAAAGCCACGGCUAACUACGUG